rnacentral:lncRNA from 10 species
UCAUAACUUCCUCAGAUAACUAUGUUCAAAAGCUUGAAGCAAGGAAAUGAGCUGCUUCUCUUCACGUCUCUCUUUUCAAGGGGAAACAAUAUGCUUCCUAGGAGACUCUAGCAGAUUUUUAGUUCCCAUUGGUCAGGUUACAUGGUCAUCCUUCAACUACAAGGGAGAAAGGGAACAAGUGUUUCUGGCAUUUUCUGCUACUAUAUUGAGAGCAAUAGACUGACUGCCUAUUCCUGUGAACCGACAAGUGAUCUCUGGCUGCAGCUCAGAAGAAACAAGGACGGCUGCUGCUUGCCUCUUCCUUUUCAUGCUACCAAAGCGGAGUUCAGCACAACAGAAACAGAUGGACAGAAAGUUUCAGAAGACAUGGGAUUUUAAAAACCACCGAUCUGUUAGGAAACAGCCUUGUUUCCUCAUUUCCACGGAAGUAAGGGUUUAUUGGAAUCUAUGGACACCACAGAAAACCACCACUCCUGCCACUAAAUCUGAAGUCUCAUACAACGUUCAAAGGCACAGGAAUGUGAAACAUCGCGUUAUGCUCAGGGAAAUCCUUAGCAGCCUCUGUAACAGGUGAUUGAUUCCUAUCAGAGAAGAAAACAAGAAGAAAACGGUGGAAGAACUGAAGAGACAUAGCCAGUGUUGAUGAAUAUUUCCCUCCCUACUCCUAAACCUUCCAUUUAUUACCUCCACUGCAAAAACAGGCCUGAAUAGUUUGAGGAUUUUGUCUGGAAUAAAAAAAGAAGAUGCAACUCAAAAUGGUUAAAAUCAUCAAGAAACAGGGGGAUUCUGUAUCUGGCUAAUUUGGAGGCUCACCGAUGAUAUCAAGCACACAGAUUUCUUGUUGUUGUUUGAGACAGGGUCUCUUUCUAUCGCCCAGGCUGGAGUGCAGUGGCGUGAUCAUAGCUCAUGGCUGUCUCUAUCUCCAGGCUCAAGUCUUCCUCCCACCUCAGCCAAUGGCAUAGCUGGGACUACAGGCACACACCAUCAUGCUCAGCUAAUUUUUUAAAUUAUUAUUUUUAGUAGAGAUGAGGUCUCACUAUGUUGCCUAGGCUGGUCUCAGACUCCUGGGUUCAAGUGAUGCUCCUGCAUCAGCCUCCCAAAGUGCUGGGAUUACAGGUGUAAGCCACCAUGCCUGGCCCUCAGAUUGAUUUAAUCUUUCUCCUCCUCAGUCAUCUUUAGCAUUUCGAAUAUCAUGCAGUAGAAAACUCUCAAAGACAAGAUGAGCUUCCCUCUUAAUCCCAAUAAACUGCAGGAUCAGCAGGCGUCAUAUCUUGAGAGAAGCAGAAAAGGGACCAACUUUUCCUUGAGUCUCUUUUACAGAGCUGAGAAGAUUUUUUCCAGAAUUUCAUCCUUCCAGAGUAUCCUCACUCACCAGAAUUGGGUCACAUGUUUAUCAGUGAACAAUCACUUCAGGAGGACAUGACUACUGUAAUUGGCUUAGGUCAGCUAAGAUUCAUCAGAUCACACAGAGUAAAGGGAGACCUGAACAACAUAGAGGCAUGAGAAGGGGAACUGUCUGGUUAUCAAUUUCCAGUGCCUGCUACAAAGAGCUAGAGCCAACGUAAUAUCCCAAAAUUCAGACACUGGCCUGGUUCCUGAAAGGACGUAUUGCAAGUAGUUAUACAAGUCUUGGCCUUUCUGCCCUCGUUGUGGUCAAAUCUCCUGGGAUCAAAGGAAUUCCUCUGGAGACACCAGAGGUGCUGUGGGAUAACCAGAUGUUGUGCUGUCCUAAAAGACUCUGUCAGGGAGGCAUCUCCUCUAACCCCCAUAUCCAUCCUUCACCCUUUUUUCAUUUUUCUAAAACACAGAUCUGAGCAGAUCACUCUCCUACUCAAAAAAAUCAGGUAGCAUUCCAACCUGUGCCCAAGCCAACUUCUCUUCAUAUUCCAUAUAUUUUAUAUGUGAGUGACUGGGAAUGUGUGUUACUUUUCAGUUUCCUUUGUCUUUGCUGUAUCUUGAAUUCCCUUCCCUACUUGCCUGCCUGAUAAAAUCCUACUCAUCCUUCAAGACUCAAAUAAAAUGUCAAAAGUAACCGGCAUCCCCUAAUUUCCCCUUCAUUUGCAUCUCCACAACGAUUGUUACCAUGACUUUUAAGUCAUUCCAUUGCUAUUACAGCCUCCUGACAAGUCUCUCUGCCUUUUCUUGCCUCCCUCCAAUUCUAAGGCCACAUGUCAGAAUGAUAUUUCUAAAGCAAUAAUAUAAUCAUGUCACUCUCUUGCUAAUAUCCUUUAUUGGCUACCUACAGUGCACAGAAUGCAGGUCUGUAACAUGCUUCAUCAAAGCCAUGUUGAUUAGGGUACCCUUUCACCUUAUACUGGAUGUUCUGUCGCAAUGAACUAUCUAUAGUUUAUGAUUACAGUUUGUUCUUUCUCACUUCCAAGAUUGUUGCAAAUUAUGUUGCCUAUGCCUGAAAUGCUUUCCCUCACCACCCCUGCAGCCUUCAGGUCUUAGCUGCCUGGUUUUAUUCUUCUAAGUUUUGGUUAGUGCUCGCCUGUAUGUUUUCAGAGCCCCAUGGGUUUGCUCUAACAUAACAUCUAAGCUGCUGAGAUUUCACAGAUUUUCUGAGGUUCCCUCAGGACAAGGGCUGCUUUUUGUAUAUAGUUGUAAUUCUGGCACAAAGAAAAGAUUCAAAUGUUUGUAAAAGACGAUAUUUGAGUUGAUUCUUGUAGGAUAAGUUGGAGCAACAUAGGCCUUAAAAAUACUGAUUCUUUCACCCCUGUGCAAUAUUGAUUAAGGCUCAGGCACAGUGGUGAAAACUGUUACAGCCCAAUGAGUUCUUCUUGCCUGCUGUCCAGAAAAACCAAUGCACUGAGAACAGCAGGUGUUGCAGCAAAGAGAGUUUAAUAAUCACAGGCUAGUCUAGUAGAAGGACAGGAGAUAAUUCUCAAAUCCACCUCUCUGAGAAUUCAAGGCUAGGGUUUUUCAAUGACAGUUUGGUGGGCAGGUGGCUAGGGAAUGAAGAAUUCUUAUUUGUUGGGUUGGAGAUGACAUCAAAGGGGGUCAAAACUGUCCACCUGAGCUGAGUCAGUUCUUGGGUGGAGGUCACAAGACCAGUUAAGUCAGUUUCUUGGGAUGGGUUACUGGGUCUGGAUGGUUCCAGCUGGUCCAUCAGAAUGCAAGGUCUGAAAAAUACCUCAAACACCAGUCUUUGGUUUUACAAUUAUGAUGCUAUCUAUAGGCGCAGUUGGGGAGGUUAUAAAUCUUAUGACCUCCAGCCACAUGAUGCUGGAAACAUAACUCUACCCUUGUGGCAAAUUUGUUAAUUUUACAAAGGCAGUUCUAGUUCCUGAGCAAGAAGGGGGUUCAUUUUAGGAAGAGAUGCUUAUCGUUGUUUUAAACUAUGAACUAAACUUUUCCCAUAGUUAGCUUGGCUUAUAUCCAGGAAUGAACAUAGAUGGUUAGCUUGUGAGGUUAGAAGGAAGACAGAGUCAGCUAUGAAGAUUUCUCUCACUGUCAUACUUUUUGCAAGGGCAGUUUCAAAACUACAAGCCUUAACUUUUUCAUGGAACUAUCAUUUUUAAAAGUUUCUAAAACUUUCAGCAUUUGUGGACCAUUUACUCUGUGUCCAAAUUGCACAAAUCACCAAUAAAUGCAAACAUUUUCAAAAGAUUCCUCACAAUUUAAGAAAUAAAACUAAAUUAUAAUAUGUUAAUUUUUCAUUGUUAUUAUUAUUAAUAGUUCCAUAUUGGUAAGAAGGAUCAUACUUUUUUUACCGUCUUUCAUGGAAGGAUCCACAGAUAAUUUGAGCCAUUGGCCAGGUUUCUCUUUGUUCUAUUAAAUUACAACUGUUUUAACUCACAAUGAAAAUUUUGGGAGAUAGUUAACAAGGUGGAUCUUUCCAAUGCUUCUGAGCAAAUUAUGGUGAGACUGCAGUAAGAUGUCUCUCUCCAUUCCGUUACAAAACUAGGCACUUGAGUUUGGAUGUUUCAAUUUGAGAGACAGUAGUGGAUGAAUUAUUAAAUCCAAUCUGGGUGAGUUCAGCUUCACAAAGUACUUCAUGUUUUUUUGUAGGCAUGUUCUUAAAUUUUUAAAUAUGUUCAUUAUGUAGGAUCAGUUUAUUUCCCCUGUGAGUGAAGAAAAUCAUCUAGGAUUGAAAAAAAUUGAAAUGCACAGCAACCAAAUCAUCUGUGUCAUAAUUCAGUCUUUUAAAAGAAAUCUUGAUAUCUCAUCCUUAACAUUAAAAAAUCAUUAUAUUUCAGCCCUGAAGUGAUAGUUUUAUGCUAUUCAAUAUGUUGAUAAUAUCAUGCAUAUAAUACUGAACAAGUCACUUGAAGUUAGAACUACCCUUUACUAGAGUAAGCAUACAUCCCUGGGACAGUCCCAGUUUAUGUCUAUUAUCCCAAUAAAAUUAAUAAAAGUGCCCCUUCUUACUCGCUGAAGUGUCCUUGAUCAGACAAUAAAUCAGACAGUCUUCUCAAUGCUUCCUGGCAUUAACAGUAUUAUGUAAUGUAGAAGUGUUUCUAUAUAUGAUU